CACCAAGCGACGACGGUAGCCGGCCUGAGAGGGUGACCGGCCACACUGGGACUGAGACACGGCCCAGACUCCSACGGGAGGCAGCAGUGGGGAAUANYGCACAAUGGGCGAAAGCCUGAUGCAGCGACGCCGCGUGAGGGAUGACGGCCUUCGGGUUGUAAACCUCUNUCAGUAGGGAAGAAGCGAAAGUGACGGUACCKGCAGAAGAAGCACCGGCUAACUACGUGCCAGCAGCCGCGGUAAUACGUAGGGUGCGAGCGUUAUCCGGAAUUAUUGGGCGUAAAGAGCUCGUAGGCGGUUUGUCGCGUCUGUCGUGAAAGUCCGGGGCUUAACCCCGGAUCUGCGGUGGGUACGGGCAGACUAGAGKGCAGUAGGGGAGACUGGAAUUCCUGGUGUAGCGGUGGAAUGCGCAGAUAUCAGGAGGAACACCGAUGGCGAAGGCAGGUCUCUGGGCUGUAACNGACGCUGAGGAGCGAAAGCAUGGGGAGCGAACAGGAUUAGAUACCCUGGUAGUCCAUGCCGUAAACGUUGGGCACUAGGUGUGGGGACCAUUCCACGGUUNCCGCGCCGCAGUAACGCAUUAAGUGCCCCG
rnacentral:rRNA from 1 species